CCAGGACUCAUCACAUAAACUCCUCACAAUGAGGUUCCCUGCUCAGCUGCUGGGGCUGCUGGUGCUCUGGAUCCCAGGAUGCAGUGGGGAUGUGGUGCUGACGCAGACCCCACUCUCCCUGCCCGUCACCCUUGGACAGCCGGCCUCCAUCUCCUGCAGGGCCAGUCAGAGCCUCGAGGACAGUGAUGGAAACACCUAUUUAGAUUGGUACCUACAGAAGCCAGGCCAGUCUCCACGGCUCCUCAUCUAUCUUGUUUCCAACCGGGCCUCUGGGGUCCCAAACAGGUUCAGUGGCAGCGGGUCAGGGACAGAUUUCACCCUGACAAUCAGCAGGGUGGAGGCUGAGGAUGUUGGAGUUUAUUACUGCAUGCAAGCUACACAUGAUCCUCCCACAGUGAUUCAGCCCCGAACACAAACCUCUCUGUGUGGCGUGUCACCACCCUCCACAUGUGUUGCUUGA